rnacentral:lncRNA from 1 species
CCCCGCCCCGCUCACCCCAGCUCCUUUCUCCAGCAGCCUCUGAACUGCAGUGGGUAAUUUUUUCUGGGUUUCAGUUAAUAAAGGGUAAGUAGCCUCAUUUUGCUUUUUUUUACUUCGAGGUCUCAGCCUUGUCUAUUUGCCAUCAAGUCCACAGCCCACAAUGGUUAGACAUGAGUGCUUAGGGGUAGUUGGAGCACAAGGGCAGUUAGUUGGAUUUUGAUCUUUUUUUUUCCCUUUUGAAUUAGAUUUGCAGGCAUAGAGUCAGUAAAUUCCUUGAGAAAACAGUCCAAGACUCUUUUGUACAUCCAGAAGUGGGCAUCAAGCAAUGAUAUUUGGAUGAAUAACAAUGAGUGGAUGAGUACACUGGAGAAUGGGAAAGCCAACCUUGAGAAAUGCCUCUUGGGACCUUCGCAUUUGGCUAUUUACAGAGCACAUGUGAUGACAAACAGGUUCAUCUAGAAAACUUGAAGUUGCCCAGCUGAUACCACCUGACUCUGCUACUCUUGUUAGCAUGCUGUGUGAGUUUUAGCAAUUGUUAUUCACAGUGAUGGUUGGGCAAGAAGUGUGCCCAAUCUGUGGACUAAGGUCUACGAGGCGGCCUGGUGCCAGAGCUCUGCCCAGCAGAGAGAGGGAUGAUUAACCGGAUGGGACUUUGACUUGUAGACAGAGUUGACUGUUGACAGCAUGGGCAGAGGCUGAGAGACACACAGUGAGAAGCCGAGGCCAGAGAUUAACUGGGCUAGUAUAACAGGAAAACAUUAAAAAAAAAAAUCAAGACUAAUUAUAAUGAUAGCUGAAAUUAAUUGCUUACGAUAUGCCAGGCACUAUUCUAAGUGCACUUUACAUCAAUUAUCUCCCUUAAAUCUCACAACAACUCUAAGGAGUAGAAGAAUUUUCACCAUUUUCCAGAUGAGGAAAUGGAGGAACAGAGAGGUUAAUGAACUUGCCCAAGGUUACGCUGAUUGGAAGUGGCAUAGCUGAGCUAUGAAACCAAAUAGUCUGGCUGUAGAGUCUAUGCUCUUGUGAUUUACACCCUACCGUCCUGUAAUGGAAUACGUAAAAGCAUAUGUAUGUAUGUAUGUAUAUGUGUGUGUGAAUGUAUAUGCAUACACUGAUAUUGAUAUACGUCAGUGGAAACUGGCUGGGGAGAGGGUGACCAGAUUACAUCAGUCAGCAGAUCCAAGAAACUCCUCAGGUUCCUCAAUCAUGUUUCAAGGUCUGGGUAGCAGCUACUGUUCCUGCCCUAGCCCUGGGUAGGUGACCAACCAUCCUAGUUGCCAAGUAUGUUUGUGGUUUCCCCACUGAAAAUCCCCUCUUUGGUCAGAUUCUGGUCUUUCUCAUUUCUCUCUACUCCUCACAAUAGGAUCCUGUGUGACUGCCUCUCUUCUUUGUAACCUUAAGAAGCCUGGUUGACAUCAGUGCUUCUGGUCACUGGCCUCCCUUUGCAUACCCUCUCCCCUGAGAACCCCAUUGCUCAUCCCCUCCUCCUGAUGGUACUGGCCAGAUGAGAAAAAGAAUCCGCUCUCUCUACCUCUUCUGUCUCUGCAGUGUCCCCUCAGGCUUUGUCCCCCAACUUGGUAACAAGGAUUGACCACACUGAUGAUGCCCUUUCCUCAGAGGUCACCUCAGCUCAUCCCCUUUGAGCCACUGAGUUCGGUAGGGGAGGGAACCCAUUUGGAGAAUGGACCUCAGGACGUGUUAAUUCCCUCUUCUCAUCUGACACAGAAAUUCCCUCAUCUCCUGGACCUCCCUCCUAACUCCUCCACGCUGAAUUGUUCUUGUCACUUUCCACAGCUUUAAUUUUUAGAAGUUUUCCCUCCAGUUAAUGUGGAAUAUGACAAAUCCCAGUUUGGCUUUCUGAAGUCACAGAAAAUAAAGCUUGCACCAGUGGAAUAAUGGUCUCCUCCAAGGAAGUAGAGCUCACACAGACUGGGAGGAAGGACGAAUCUAGAGGCGGAUGUGAUCUGCAAGCUAUUUGCACGGAAAUGGACGGCGCGGUUCUCAGGAGGAAAUGCAGAUAAUAUAACGCUAGAUAUAGAAAGACAGAAAAUUUCAUACGCAAUAUGAUCUCAACGUUAGAAAAAUAUACAUGGC